UUCAUCUCACAAGGCAGGCGCACUUCCACCGAUGGCAACCUCUAGCUUGCUCUUCACGCCCUCUAUCCAAAAGAACCACCACAACCUCAACCCGUCCAACCUCUCAUUCCAAGGCCUUAGACCCCUCACCAGGGCCAAAACCACCUCCCUCUCCAAGAUCAGCACCGCUGCACCAAAAAGGAGCUUAGCUGUGAAAGCAGAGCUUAACCCAUCACUGGUCAUAAGCUUGAGCACAGGGGUAUCACUCUUUUUGGGAAGGUUUGUGUUCUUC
rnacentral:lncRNA from 1 species